rnacentral:misc_RNA from 1 species
GAUGAAGAACGCAGCGAAAUGUGAUAAGUAAUGUGAAUUGCAGAAUUUAGUGAAUCAUCGAAUCUUUGAACGCAUAUUGCGCCCGCCAGCACUCUGGCGGGCAUGCCUGUUCGAGCGUCAUUUCAACCCUCAGGCCUCGCGUCUGGCGUUGGGGCGCUGCGGCCCUCCCGCAGGCCCCCAAAUUUAGCGGCGGAUUCCCCGCGGCCCUGAGCGCAGUAGAGAGUAAAAACUUUAACGCUCCGGCGGCCGUGGCGCGGUUCUGCCUCUUUCCCAAUAGCGCCAAUAGCGCCACCCCCAAAAAAGUUGACCUCGGAUCAGGUAGGACUACCCGCUGAACUUAAGCAUAUCAAUAAGCGGAGGA